rnacentral:lncRNA from 1 species
NNNNNNNNNNNNNNNNNNNNNNNNNNNNNNNNNNNNNNNNNNNNNNNNNNNNNNNNNNNNNNNNNNNNNNNNNNNAAAAAAAAAAAAAAGGGGACUCAUUUCUUUAAUCUUUAAAAACAUGUAAUUUUGCAAAUUAUUAAUUUAAUUGACAUCUUUUCUUAUUUUUACUUAUAAGAAAAUUUGUUUUAUUCUAUUAUUUUAUUAUUAUUUUUUUUUUUUUAAUUAACUUCUUACCACGAUGUGGAAGAAAAAUUAAAAAUGUUAUAAUUUUAUAAUGCUCAUUGGUACUCGAAACUAUGAAAAUGUAGGUUAUAUUUUAUUUUCAUGUUUUCAUUAUAUUAUGUAAAUUUGUAUGUGCGUUUUUGUAUACAUUUUUACAUACAUUUAUAUAUUUUUAUAAACGAGUUAUGUUAAUUCUUCAUUUUUAAUUAAAAAAAAAGCAACACUCUAUGUUUUCUGUAUUGUUCUAUCUAUCUAUCUAUCUAUAUAUAUAUAUAUAAGAGCAUUUGCGCAUGUAUAUAAAUACAUAUUUACAUUUAUACUAUUCAUAGAGAAAGGUAGAUAAAAACCUCUAAAAAAAAAAAAAAAAAAAAAAAAAAAAAAAAAAAAAUGUUUCAAACUUGUAGAUAUUUAUUUAUUUAUUUUUUUAGUAUAUAUAUAUAUAUAUAAGUUAUACAUGCAAUCGUAUAGACAUACACAAAUGCACUUAUAACAAAAAUAAAAUAAGCGCACUUACAAUUAAUAUAGACAAAAUAAGAGUACAUGGUAUGUACAUGUAUAUGUAAAAAUAUAUAUAUAUAUAUAUAUAUAUAUAUAUAUAUAACUUACUCAAUUGCCAUUCAACACAUUCCUUAUCACAGCUUAUAUAAUUUAUCUUAAACAUGGCAGUAGUAAAUGAUGAUAAAAAUAAGCUCAACGACACUAAUGCAAACAUAAACAGUAAAGAUGAAUAUAUAUUAACACACAAUUUUGAAGAGAAUGUAAUUUUAUUAAAUACAUAUAUUUAUGCUUACUUAUUUAAAUAUUUUGGCAAAUUAUAUAUGUAUAUAAAUUCAUACAAAAUUAAUGACUCAUAUCUUUUUGAGUUUGAAAAUAUAAUUAAAGCUCUUUAUAAUAAUUUGAAUAAUGUGAUUAUACAAUCAAACACAUAUAAAAGUUGUUAUACAAAAUUGAAUAAAAACGAUAGUAAUAUUAAUAAAGAUAACUUAAAAUUAAAGAAUGAUAAUGAGAAUGAGAACGACGAUAUAUGUAAGUUUGAACAUGACCAUGAACGUGAACAGAAACAUAGGGACAUAGAUAUAAACAGUGUAAGUAUUAAAACAAAAGAAGACGAUAUAAAUGAUUUAUUUAUAAGUGAUAUUGAUAAUCGUCAUAUUUGUACUUUAAACAAUAAAUAUAAAAAAGAAACAUACGAAAUAAUUAAAAAUAUAAAAAAUAUAUAUAUUGAAGAUGCUUUACUUUUGUUAAAUAAUAAUAAUAAAAAUAUUACUUAUGGUUAUAAUUUAGUAAAAAUAAAAAUAUAUAUAUGUUUAAAAACUUGUAGAAUAUAUAUAUAUUCCUAUGAUUGUUUUUUAAUGAAUAAAACUGACAAUAUUGACACGAGUACUAUUAAUGCGAGUAAUGUCAAAAUAAAUAAUAACAGUAAUAAUGUUAAUACAAGUAAUAAGACAAAAUGUGAUGAACAAAAAAAAACCACGUUAAAAAUUACAUUUAAUAAAAAUAAAUUAAUAAAAGAAGAAGAAAAAAAACACAUAUUAAAUAUUAUUAUUAAAAAUAUAAAAUUACAUUCAUUUAAUAAUAAAGCAACAUAUAAAGAUUCUAUACAACUUAUAUAUAAUAAACUAUUUAACUUACCUGGAUCAACAAUUGAUUUGUUUUUGUAUAAUCCUAUUAAUAACAUAGACAAUUUUUUUUUUGAUAUAUAUGAACCUAAUUUUUAUAAUUGUGUUAUACAAAAAAAAAAUUACAUUUCUUAUAAAAUUUUAUAUGAACAAUAUAAAAAUAUAAUGAUAAAAUCAAAAAUUAUUAAAUUGAAUAAACAAAUGAUAAAGUAUUUAUUAUACGAUUCUAUAUUUCUUCCUAGUUAUGUUCAAAAAAAUACAUUCAAGUUAGAAGAGGAACAUAUGUAUUCUUCCUUUUCUUCGUAUUCUGAGUGUUCAUCUGAUGGUGGCAGUAGUAGUGGCAGUGGCAGUGGUAGUAGCAGUAGUAGUAUUAGUGGUAGUGGUAGCAGCGGUGCUGGUAGUAGCAACACCAGUAGGAGCAACAACAACAACAAAGUAGAAAAUAAAUUAAUUCAGGAACCUGCCCAAAAGUGUGACAUUAACAGUAAAGAUAUUUUUAUAAAUAGUAGCGAAAAAACGGACGAAAUGACUGAAGUUAAUACUACGGAGCAUAAAAAUAGUAACUUAGUUUUGUCAGAAGUGAAGCAGUUCACACCUGAAAAAAAUCAAACAAUGAAAACAGAUAGUUGUAACAAAGUUAGUAAAGAAUCAAGUGGUAAAAUAAAAAAAAAUAAAAAACAAAAAAUAAAAGAACUGUUUAAUAAUAAAAAUUUCCGUAAUAUAUUAGAAAAUAUAAAAGAAAAAAUAGAAGAAUUAGAUAAAAGUGUAUUUUUAAGAGUUAAUGAUAAAAAUUUAAAAAAGGGUUCAUUUAUAAAUAGUUGUAAUUUUGAAGUUAAUUCAUUAUAUGAUGGACUACUAUUAUUAAAAAGUUGUACAACUGUUUAUAAAUCAUUAAAAGAAAAUAAAAAUAAAAAUAAUUAUUUGUUUUUAUCUAAAUAUGUGAAUAUGAAUAUUAGUUCUAUAUUUGAAGUUUAUGUUUAUAAUAAAAAUAUAAUAGCUAUAUCACAAAAAUAUUUAAAUUAUUAUUUUCAAUUUUUAAAUGAUGCAAAUAGUAUUAUAGAAACUAUAAAUAAUAUAAAACAUUUUUAUGAAAAAAAUUUACAACAGUCAUUUUUUUGUAAUAAUUAUAUAUUUCUUAUUUAUAUUCAUACAUUUAAAAAAAAAAAAAACAAAAAAAAAAUUAUUUUAAUAAAUGCUAAAAGUUGGCUCUAUAAAAAUAAACAUCCUGUACUUACUAAUCAAUUUUUAAAAAAUUAUAUUUAUACCAAUUAUAAAGGUAAACUAAUAAAUGAUCACAAUUUUUCAAAAAUCGGCAUAUACAAAUAUAACAGUACACUUGAUCACGACCAUAACUAUGACAAUUUGGAUGAACAAACUUAUACGCAAACAGUAGGACAUGGACAUAUAGAUUCUUAUGAGAAAUACUACCCAAAUGAAAACCUUUUUGAUUUAUAUUUUUAUAAUGACAUACUAUACUAUUGCAUAGUGAAAGACGAUUCCAUUUACCAAAAAAAUAAUAACAUAUUUCCUAAGGUAUUAAUCAGUGCAAAAAAAAAAAAAAAAAAAAAAAAAAAAAAAUCAUGCGUUUUAAUGUUACAG